rnacentral:rRNA from 1 species
CCCCUAGAUGUUCUGGGCCGCACGCGCGCUACACUGAACAGUUCAACAAGUCUUAACCUUGGCCGAUAGGUCUGGGUAAUCUUUGAACGCUGUUCGUGAUUGGGAUAGACCUUUGCAAUUAUGGGUCUUCAACGAGGAAUUCCUAGUAAACGCAAGUCAUCAGCUUGCAUUGAUUACGUCCCUGCCCUUUGUACACACCGCUCGUCGCACCUACCGAUUGAAUGGUCCGGUGAAAUCUCGGGACGGCGGCUUGGUCGCUUGCGUCCGACUGCUGAAACUUGAUUAAACCAUAUCAUUUAGAGGAAGGUGAANUCGUANCU